CGGCGAACGGGUGAGUAACGCGUGGAUUAUCUGCCCUGAGGUGGGGGAUAACCCGGGGAAACUCGGGCUAAUACCGCAUAGGACCGUGAGGUCAAAGGGGGGUCGCAAGAUCUCUCGCCAUAGGAGGAGUCCGCGUACGAUUAGCUAGUUGGUAGGGUAAUGGCCUACCAAGGCGACGAUCGUUAGCCGGCCUGAGAGGGUGAUCGGCCACACUGGAACUGAGACACGGUCCAG
rnacentral:rRNA from 1 species